GUCUUUGCUCACUCUGCAGGGUUUCUGCUCUUGUGGGAUUUUCAGGCUGUACUCUGUUGACUUUCUUCCUGAAUGUGUUCAGUGGUUUUCAGGUAAAGGACAUGUCCACAGCUUCUCCUCAGUAGACUGCAUUUGAUCAUGGAGCAGCAGCCAUGGCCGAGUAGAGAGGGUAGAGAGGAACAACGAGAAGGCAGAACCAGAGGGGUUUCUCUUGACAAUGGCAAGGAGACCGGGCAAUGGCUCUUGGAAAGCAUUACAUUAGCAGCUGGAAGGUUCAACUGGAAAACCCUCUGGAUACCUGGGAGUGUUGUGAUGAAGUGUCAGAUAGAAGGAAUCAAGCCUGAUUUGCUGAACAACCCUUGCUGGUGUAAGUUAAGUGAAAAAGAUACUUUUCAAUUUAUGCUUAGUACAUUUGACCUCAAAGUCAAUGAAUGAUACAAAAUACUUACUUGUUACAUUCUUUU
rnacentral:lncRNA from 1 species